rnacentral:rRNA from 1 species
CCUACGGGAGGCAGCAGUGGGGAAUAUUGCGCAAUGGCCGAAAGGCUGACGCAGCGACGCCGCGUGGGGGAUGAAGCAUUUCGGUGUGUAAACCCCUGUUGCUCGGGACGAACAACUGGAUUUGUCCAGUCUGACGGUACCGGGUGAGGAAGCACCGACUAACUCCGUGCCAGCAGCCGCGGUAAUACGGAGGGUGCGAGCGUUGUCCGGAAUCACUGGGCGUAAAGGGCGCGUAGGCGGUCUGCUAAGCGUGUGGUGAAAGCUCGGGGCUCAACCCCGAGUCUGCCAUGCGAACUGGUGGACUAGAGCACUGUAGAGGCAGGUGGAAUUCCGGGUGUAGCGGUGGAAUGCGUAGAGAUCCGGAAGAACACCGGUGGCGAAGGCGGCCUGCUGGGCAGUAGCUGACGCUGAGGCGCGACAGCGUGGGGAGCAAACAGGAUUAGAUACCCUGGUAGUCCACGCCGUAAACGAUGGGGACUAGGUGCUUGGGGGAGCGACCCCUCGAGUGCCGGCGCUACGCAUAAGUACCCCGCCCUCGGGAGGUACGGCCGGCCGAACGGACGAGAACGUAAAAGUAAAGUUAAGUAGGACGUCGAGACGAGCGACGACGACGACGACGGGAGGAGGAGG